rnacentral:rRNA from 1 species
AGAGCGAACGCUGGCGGCAGGCUUAACACAUGCAAGUCGAGCGGGCGUAGCAAUACGUCAGCGGCAGACGGGUGAGUAACGCGUGGGAACAUACCUUUUGGUUCGGAACAACACAGGGAAACUUGUGCUAAUACCGGAUAAGCCCUUACGGGGAAAGAUUUAUCGCCGAAAGAUUGGCCCGCGUCUGAUUAGCUAGUUGGUGAGGUAACGGCUCACCAAGGCGACGAUCAGUAGCUGGUCUGAGAGGAUGAUCAGCCACAUUGGGACUGAGACACGGCCCAAACUCCUACGGGAGGCAGCAGUGGGAAUAUUGGACAAUGGGCGCAAGCCUGAUCCAGCCAUGCCGCGUGAGUGAUGAAGGCCCUAGGGUUGUAAAGCUCUUUUGUGCGGGAAGAUAAUGACGGUACCGCGAAGAAUAAGCCCCGGCUAACUUCGCGCCAGCAGCCGC